CUAAUUUCAUUCCCUGACCCUAGAGUCAAAAAAAAUCAGAUCUUUUACCCCAAAAGGAACUAGCGGUCGUUUCCCCUAUCUUCUUCCUCAUCUUCUCAAAAUAGGAACACCAGAGAACAUACUGCCCAUGUAUCCCACGACUUUUUGAACUCCUCCAUUUUCAACACACUUGAAACCAACGCUCAAUUUUAUCAACAUCGAGAAGGUAAAUUCUGAAAUUUUAUGGAAAAGGGUAAUGCGAAAAUAGCUACGACUUAUAGAAACAGCACAGUUCCUAAAGAAUAUUUAAAGAUAGAUAGGCCUUUUUUUAUGAAUUCAACUUGAAAAUCUUUAUCUUUAAAAUCCAAAAACUCUGGUGAUGCUUCGGUUUUCAGUAUCUGUUGUAAAAGCAAUGGCUCCAUCGCUAACUCUGCUGCUUCCACUAAGGAUGCUACCUCCAGAUUUUUAGAGCAUUAAGUCUAUUGUCUUGUUGUGCUGAUUCUGCUAAUCUUCAUCCACGUUUUCUGCCUUCAUUUGUCUUCUCUUUGGAGUAUUGUUUCUCAAACAAUUAGGUACACAACUUUGAACUUGUCUUAAUUGUGCGAAGCAAAUGAAAUUCCUGCUGAGUUUUGGUUUUUCUUUUUUGCUUUCUUAUCUGAUUGGCUAUGAGAAUUACCUUGAUUCCCGUUUUCAUUUAAGAAUAUUGUUGUUAGUUAGUUGACUCUUUUAAGCACUUUUACUUUCACCUAGCUCUUGAAUCGGGUCAGAGAUGAAAUCGUUUGUUCUACUUGCUGAACUUAAUAGAUGUUGUAGUUGAAUUCGCUAUGGCGUAUUUGUUUAAAGCAUAAACUCAAUUGAAUGGGGACUAUCAUAUCUUGUGUUUCUGCUUGGACUAUUCCUGGGAUGUCAUUGAUUAUAAUGGUGGACUUUAAGCUAAUGUGUACAGAUUUAAUAUUAAAAGGCUUUCAAUGAGCUUGGACACCAGUUCAACUCUAGUUUAGCUUAUGUAAUUGGGCCAUUCAAAGUAUAAUUAAAGAGGCUAUUGAUGUAAAGUUGAAAAUUGUGCUUUUUCUAUAACGAAUUGGUGAUGUAAUUUUUGAAUUUAAGAUAAUAUAUAUUCAUGCUUAGCUUAAUUCAUAGCUAUUUCGCUUUUCUUUAUGGAUAGCCUUUUGAGUUUGAUUAUCAAAUCUGAUUUCAAACUCUUCUAAAUAAUUAUUACUAAGCAAGUUCAGUGUGUCAAGAUCAUAUACAUUAAUUUCUAUGCCUUUUACCCACAAAAUUGUAAUCCUCUCAUAAUCUAGUUUAAAAUCCACCAAUGUGCACUCUUGCCAAAUGAUUCUAUCAUUCCAAUAAUCUCAAAGUAGGAAAUAAUUCAUGAACAUCGUAACUUGCUUUAUGACCGAUUAAUAAUAAAUCUUCGUGACUAUGGGUGCAGUUUCUGUGGCAUAGUCAUGAUGUGUAACUCCAAAAUUUGAGUGCACGCUGGCAUGACGCGACCCCCCCCCCCUUCCCCAACUCCGAACAAUUAUAAAAAGAAACAUAUUGUAAAUCGCUGGUGCAUUUCAUGUGACGUGGUUUGCAAUGUGUACCAAAACAACAAGUGUACGACAACGAUGUAAUGAUCCGGCCGGUCAUUUCAUGAGUUACCGCUCCGUUUCCCCCAUUUGUGCUUCUUUAUGUCUUGUUCAGCUGUAUUAUAUGGUAUCAGGUUAGUUGAUUCGGGUUUGGAGUGGUUUUGGAGAGGUUUGAGACACUUAGUCUAUUUUGAGUAAGCUUAAGUGGGAAAACUCAACCGGAUGUUGACUUAUGUGAAAAAGGGCUGGGAUGUGAAAUAUGAUGAUUCGGAUAGCUUCAAAAGGUGAUGUAAGAGCAUGAUCGGAAUGUGUUUUGGAAGUUCGUAGUAAAUUUAGGAUUGAAGUGGCAAAAAUGGAUUUUUGGCGUGUUUCGGUUGAUAGUGGAAAUUUUGAUAUAGGGGUCGGAGUGGAGUUCCAGGAGUGACAAUAGGUUCGUUGUAUCAUAUGGGAUGUGUGUGUAGAAUUUCAGGUCAUUCGGACGAGGUUUGAUAGACUUUUUGAUCGAAAGCGGAAUUCAGAAGUUUUUGGAGUCCUUAGGCUCGAAUCCGUGGUUGAUUUGUUGUUUUAAUGUUGAUUUAGGUGCUUCGAAGAUUGGUAUAUGUUUGGAUGGUGGUAUAUGACUUGUUCGUACUUUUGGUUUAGGUCCCGGGGGCCUCGGGGUAAUUUCGGAUGGUUGAUGGGAGAUUUGGAGCUGGAAAUUUGUAGCUGAAGUUGUUGGAGCUCCUAUCUGAGGGUUCGAAACCCCAAACUAUGUGUUCUAUGAUUACUAAUGAGGUGACGCAAAUGCCAAGUGAUGGGUGUGUGGGCAUGCACCAUGAGAAAUGUGUCCUGGAUCAUUCCAGAGCACCGCUUAAUGACUCUUUCUUGCUGAUAUCUAUGUUGUAUCUAUGUGAUUAAGUUAAUGAGCUGCAAAUCAUGCUAAUUACCAUGUUAAGGGUUCACACCAAUACUGUUGAGACCCGAGAGGUCAUUUCUUGUUGUCAUGUCAUUAGCUUCAUCUAUAUUCUAUACUAAGUCCUGUUUAUGCAUAUUAUAUCAUGCCUCAGUCUUGAUUAUUACUAUUUGACAUAUCAUAUCACUGUUCGGGCUAGUAUCAUGACAUUUUUGAGCCCGUCUCUGUGAGACUGGAGAGUAUUGACUGAGUGUGGCCGAGAGCCUGAUAUUGAUUGACAAUAUGGGAUCGGGCUGCACGCCAUAGCGAGAUAUUGAUCAUGCCUUCGCUGGCAUUGAUAUAGCUCUUGGUCUCAGAGAAGCCCCUCCGGAGUCUUUACACCCCAGUGAGCGCAGUUGAUGAUAUUGAAGGAUGGAUUUUCCCUGGACACGGAUCUUGUCUGAAGUAUUGGUAUAGAGAUGGAUCUUUUCCAUGAGGCUGGAUUGGCCUGUUUCCUCGGUACUGGGUGACUUAUAGUCUGUGACGUAUGUUUACCGUGAAAAUGGUAACAACAAUUAAAUUUGUAAAUGGUACUCUAAUAAUAUGUGAUCUAUUUUUAUGCUAGUUAUUAGAGCAGUUGAUGCUAGGUGUAUUAACUGCACCUGCGACUUGGGGACCGCAGGUGCGGGCCCGCAGAAGCGUAAGGAGGGAUGCAGAUGCGAAAAUAGGCGAGAGGAGCAGGAACCGCAGAUACAGAUGUUUGAGCGCACCUGUGAUAGAGCAGGUGCGGAAUUUUGAUCGCAGGUGCGGUCCUUGGGAGGUUAAGUGAAUUCCAUAGAUGCGCACCUAGGAUCGCAGGUGCGGGUUUGCAGGUGCGAGAUUUCGACCGUAGAAGCGGUUUAGCUGGGGAAGAACAUUUAUAUUUAGCCCUUCACGAUUUUUGAGUGGUUUUUCACCAUUUUCAUGCAGGUCUGAGCUUGGG
rnacentral:lncRNA from 1 species